UUUGAGCCGACAAGAGUAGUA
rnacentral:siRNA from 1 species